AUAUGCCUAUUAUAUAUACACGCAUCGCCAAAAAUAAGAUAAUUUAAUAGAAAAUUACGAGUUAGUACGCGUAUUAAGUGCUCGGUGUAAACUAGGCCAUGGUCGACACUUAGGUUAGAACCAAGAAGUCAGGGUGAUUUUACAUAAAGCGCGAAAACGCGGAAACGCGCAAGACAAAAAGAACGAGACUUACUAAGAUUUUUGCAUUUCCGCGCGUUUUGUUCCGUUUUGGAUGCCUUGUAUUACAUGAAGCAUAUUUCAAGCAGAAAAGCGGAAUGAGGAAUUAUAAAUUAUAAAUUUUUAACGGUGUUAAUUAAUUUAAAUGAUUGUAUUCAAUAAAUAAGUUGAAAAGGUAAGUAUAUUAUUAAAAAUUGUAAUAAAUUAAGUGAAUAUUAUUUUAAGAAACGAAUACAAAUGUCUAGUUUUCACCAUUCCGUUCCGCUUUUCCGCGCAAAUCGUGCUCCAUGUAAUACAAGAAGGAAAAAUUCGCGGAACGAACACUAAGGGUGCAUCCCGACGGAGGAAGAAAUAGCGGAACGGAACAGUUACGGAAAGGAGAUAUGGUGGGAGGUCAGCCAAUCAGAGCAAUUCCGUUUCAGUUCCGUUCCGAUUUUUGACGACUAGGCUCCUCACGUAUGAAUGUUUGACGUAACGAAAUUAAAACGGAAAAACUAACCUCACUUUCGUGAAAUGUUUUCGUAGACAACACGUGUCCCAAGUGAGAAACAAAUUUAAAAAAAGUUUUCUGUCGAUCGUAUCAGUUUUUUAUGUUCAAGGAGCAUGUCGUCAUUGGUAAGUAAUAAUAUAUAAAUACAUAACAUGUGUUAAGAACGCUGUCUCACAUGUGUACGUUUUCACGUAAAUUCAAUAAAAUUAUAUUUUAUUAACUAGGACAGAUUUAAAUGUGGUUACUGUGGCUGGGUUGUUUGGCGUUACAAAAAUGAAAGAAUUUCUCACAGUUGCCUUGCAAACUGUGAUCACUUAUUCAUGGAUAACAAUAGAAACCUCUUUAUAGAUGAGACACAUUUGCAUUAGACAGAUAGCAACACUGCCAUUGAAAUAGAUACUGCUGAUAAAGAAAAUAUUGCUGAGAAUUUUGAAAGCACUGCCCACGAUAAUUUAAUAGAAAACAUAGAUGAAGAUUUAAUAGCUACAGUAAAAGAGAGACCAGCCCUGUAUAACUAUCGAAUACUCGUAAAGGAACGAGGAAGGAAACAGAAAGAUCAUUUGUGGCAGGAAGUCAGCAACUGUUUAAAAGAGAAAAAAAGGGUUAAUGCAGAAGACUACGAAGAAGCCUAUGAAGCGUAUGACAAUGUAUCAGAGUUGUCUGAAAAUGUUCAACGAGUAGAAAACGAAUAUUUCGAGAAAAGAGUAAAGUGCAUAAAAAAAGUAUUAUUAAUUAAUAAAGUAAAUGAUUGGAAAAGAUCACAAUUAAGUUGGCACAAAGAAAUACAAAGACGACAAUUAGUGAAAACUUUCCUACUACAUCGUUUUUUGAAAAGAAAAGAAAAAACACUAAUUUUGGGUUCGACCAAUCUUUAUUGAAGAAAGGAGAUUUUAUCAAGGAGAUAGUGACAAUUUAAUUAUAGAGAUGGAAAAUGAUUCUGAAAAAUAUUUUGAAUAUUUGAGAAUGACUAAAGAAUCUUUCAACAAAUUAUUGGAGUUGCUUAAAUCAAAGUUAACCAAACAACAUUUUCUAAGAACUCCAAUAUCGGCCUGUACACGGUUACAAAUCUGUUUACGUUAUUUAGCGUCAGUUGAUACAAUGCAUUCGAUUUCUUUCGCUUUUCGAGUUGGAUGAAAUACAGUCUCCAGAAUUGUAGCGGAAACUUGCGUAGCUAUUUGGGAUGUUUUAAAAGAAAAAGUUUUUCCUGACAUAACAGAGAAUUUGUGGAUCCAAAAAGCAAAAAAUUUGAAGCUUAGUGGGAUUUUCUAAACUGUAUUGGAGCAAUUGAUGGAAAAUAUAUUCAAAUUCAGUUCCAGCUUUUCUCAACUGGUGGUCUGUCUGGCCAAGAACUCGCCAAUAAAUCAAG